UCCAGGGUAGACGAGUGGACAAAGGCACCUGCCCGGUAAGCAGAAGGGUGUGGGUUCGAUUCCCGCCCCUGGAC
rnacentral:tRNA from 1 species